AGACCAAAGGGAGCCAAAAGAACUGCAAUAGAGGAACAAGUGCUGAGCCGACUCAACCUCUCCGCAACCAGAGACACAAAGAUGAGCCUCCGUAGAUAAAAUCCCUCGAAUAACCAGGUUUGCUUUGGUAGGUAACCUGUCCCGCAAGAGUCGCCAAGCAAAAAUGGAAACCUUCAAAGGAACCUGACGGUGCCAGAUAAGUCCUGACGCAGCAUCCAAAGUAACUGCAU
rnacentral:lncRNA from 1 species